rnacentral:piRNA from 1 species
UGAAGUCUGCAUCUUUACCAUUUGGGG